GCGGGAUUAGUACAGUGGCAGUACGCGUCCUUCCCAAGGAUGAGGUGCGAGUUCGAUUCUCGUAUCCCGCU
rnacentral:tRNA from 1 species